UACUAGAGUAGCACUCGCAUAUCAAUAAGCGGAGGAAAAGAAACUAACAAGGAUUCCCCUAGUAACGGCGAGUGAAGCGGGAAGAGCUCAAAUUUGAAAUCUUAAAGGGUUUCCCUUUACGAAUUGUAGUUUAAAGAAGUGUUUUCUGUUGAGGUUUUGGUAAAAGUUCUUUGGAAUAGGACAUCAUAGAGGGUGAGAAUCCCGUAUUUGACCUUUACUUUCAACUUUGUGAUGACACUUUCAAAGAGUCGGAUUGUUUGGGAAUGCAGUCCAAAAUGGGUGGCUAAAUUUCAUCUAAAGCUAAAUAUUGGCGAGAGACCGAUAGCGAACAAGUACCGUGAGGGAAAGAUGAAAAGAACUUUGAAAAGAGAGUUAAACAGUACGUGAAAUUGUCAAAAGGGAAGCGUUUGACACCAGUGUUGUUUUUCUGAAAAUCAAUUAAAGAACUGUUUAUGCUAAGCUGUUUAGACUUUAUCAGCUAUCUGUUUAGUUUUGAGCUUUUCUUUAAUGCACUUUUCAGUUAACAAGUCAACAUCAAUUUCUUUUGCUGUAAAAAAGCUUGAGGAAGGUGGCUUGAGAUUCGUCUUAAGUGUUUAUAGCCUCUUGCCUAUGCAGUCGGAGAGAUUGAGGUCUGCAGCGUAGAUCCUUCGGGGCUAAAUGCAUUUGUGCUAAGUUAUAGCAUUUUAUAGACAACUUGUUGACUAUGAUUUGUCUUGUAGCUUACUCGCUUAUGUUAUUUUACCUACGCUUAGGAUGUUGAUCUACAGAGCGAGAGU
rnacentral:rRNA from 1 species